rnacentral:rRNA from 1 species
GAUGAACGCUGGCGGCGUGCCUAAUACAUGCAAGUCGAGCGAACGGACGAGAAGCUUGCUUCUCUGAUGUUAGCGGCGGACGGGUGAGUAACACGUGGAUAACCUACCUAUAAGACUGGGAUAACUUCGGGAAACCGGAGCUAAUACCGGAUAAUAUUUUGAACCGCGUGGUUCAAAAGUGAAAGACGGUCUUGCUGUCACUUAUAGCUGGAUCCGCGCUGCAUUAGCUAGUUGGUAAGGUAACGGCUUACCAAGGCAACGAUGCAUAGCCGACCUGAGAGGGUGAUCGGCCACACUGGAACUGAGACACGGUCCAGACUCCUACGGGAGGCAGCAGUAGGGAAUCUUCCGCAAUGGGCGAAAGCCUGACGGAGCAACGCCGCGUGAGUGAUGAAGGUCUUCGGAUCGUAAAACUCUGUUAUUAGGGAAGAACAUAUGUGUAAGUAACUGUGCACAUCUUGACGGUACCUAAUCAGAAAGCCACGGCUAACUACGUG